AGUGAACGCUGGCGGUAGGCCUAACACAUGCAAGUCGAACGGCAGCACAGUAAGAGCUUGCUCUUACGGGUGGCGAGUGUCGGACGGGUGAGGAAUACAUCGGAAUCUACUUUUUCGUGGGGGAUAACGUAGGGAAACUUACGCUAAUACCGCAUACGACCUACGGGUGAAAGCAGGGGAUCUUCGGACCUUGCGCGAUUGAAUGAGCCGAUGUCGGAUUAGCUAGUUGGCGGGGUAAAGGACCACCAAGGCGACGAUCCGUAGCUGGUCUGAGAGGAUGAUCAGCCACACUGCAACUGAGACACGGUCCAGACUCCUACGGGAGGCAGCAGUGGGGAAUAUUGGACAAUGGGCGCAAGCCUGAUCCAGCCAUACCGCGUGGGUGAAGAAGGCCUUCGGGUUGUAAAGCCCUUUUGUUGGGAAAGAAAAUCAGCAGGUUAAUACCCCGCUGUUCUGACGGUACCCAAAGAAUAAGCACCGGCUAACUUCGUG
rnacentral:rRNA from 1 species